CAAUUUAUGGUUACAUCCGGCGGGUUUGGCCGGAAAUUUAUGCCUUUUUGUUUUUCUUUUUAAUAAAAUUUUAAAUCGGGGGUUCGUUCUUUCUUUUGAUCUUCAGAAUCCUAUUUUUCUCUUCGUUUCUGGUUUGAAACAAUUGGGCCUCCGCUGUGUGAGUGAGAGGCCCAAUUUUUUGGAUCUGUAAUGGUGGGCCAGGUUUACUGGGUUCAUGUUUUUCUUUUCUCCUACCAUGGUGUUACUGGUUUUUCAUCUCUAGGCCCAGUUGUAUUUUCACCUUUUUCACCUCUGCUAUGGCUAGGGUUUCCCAUUUAAGUAGCAUUUCCUUAACUGAGCCUCCGGGUCCUGGAGAAGGAGAAAAUUGAAGGGUUUAAGGAAGCUUAAGGUGAGAAUGUUUUCUCUCGUGAUUCCACCUCCUCAGAUUCCAGUACCUUUGAAGGUUGCUCUGGAGCUUGCACCUCAGGCUGAAAGUUCUGGCAGCCAUGGAGGCGGCGGAAAUAGGAGAACUGGCAUUGGAGCCCCACCCCCACCCCCACCCCCACCCCCACCCAUGUUCGGGU